rnacentral:tRNA from 1 species
GUUUCUGUAGUGUAGUGGUUAUCACGUUCGCCUCACACGCGAAAGGUCCCUGGUUCGAAACCGGGCAGAAACA